rnacentral:rRNA from 1 species
AUCCUACGGGACGCAGCAGUGAGGAAUAUUGGUCAAUGGGCGGAAGCCUGAACCAGCCAAGUCGCGUGAGGGAAUAAGGCCCUACGGGUCGUAAACCUCUUUUGCCGGGGAGCAAGGGCGGGGACGUGUCCUGGCCCGGAGAGUACCCGGAGAAAAAGAAUCGGCUAACUCCGUGCUAGCAGCCGCGGUAAUACGGAGGAUGCGAGCGUUAUCCGGAUUUAUUGGGUUUAAAGGGUGCGUAGGCGGGCUUUUAAGACAGCGGUAAAAAUUCGGGGCUCAACCCCGUCCGUCCGUUGACACUGGGG